AAAAGCAUGCAAAGUUUUGGUAAGCAAAGAAGUUUUCGUUCUUCUGAGCUGGGAAUUUUCUGGAACAAUGCAGAAAUAUUUUGGACUGUGCCAAGCAGGUCAUCGUCCAGUCCAAAUGUGGCAGUCAUCGAAAAAGCCAGACAGCAUCGAGAUUUGAACCACGCAUCCCUCGGUUACCGGUCGUGCGCCUUGACCAAUUCGACAACGGUGGCAUCUGAUCUGCUCUCCGAUGACUUGCCAAGUCCGCCUUGGUCUGCCUCUUGAUCUGCGUCUUCCAGUCAUUUCUGCAUGGCAUUUCGGGCCUCUUGGAGUGUCACCACACGUGCUUCUUCAGUGUCGUCAUCUGAUCCACGGCUGUCGUCAUUGCAACUGACCAUAUAUCAAGGACGCAUGGAGCAACGGCGUCUUCAUCAGAAAUAAUGGCACACCUCAUAGUUGUCCGCAUCGAGGUAUACUCGAAAUCUGCUGCCGGAUCUUUUUACUGACUUUCGGACUGAAGGUUAUUCCUUGCUCUGCGGCUUCAAAUGACUGGACUGGUCAUCACACCGCAUGCGCAUAGAUACAAUGGGAAAGGCGAAAUCGUUGAAGCAGAGUGUAAAGUCUUUCACUCUACCCUCAAGGUUGUCGCCCCUGCUGGCGCAAAUGUAUAGGUCGCACACUGACCCGGGCCUAAGACCGGAUCAGUGGGACAAGUUGCUGGGUAUUUUCCUAUAGUGGUUCCUGGAAAUUUUUGUCCGGAUCCGGAAGCUGAAGCCCGGAUAAAUGAAGCUAAAAUACAUCGAUUGGAAUCUAUCUACACGAUUUUUGUCCCGAUAGCGCGGGAUCCGGAUUACGGUAGUGAAGCCUGGAUAAACACGGGUCGACUUUAUAACGUUAUGUUGAAGAAGGAGAUGUUAGUUACGUUACUGUGGUUCGCGGGAGUCAUUAGAGCUUGAGUUUCAGUGCAUCGUAUGUGAAGGCGAUAGCGUACGAUGAACUAAAAUCCUCUAUUGAUGCGAGGGGUACAAACCACGACGAGGCCCAUUUUUGUAGUGUUUGAUGAAAUUAUUGUUAUUUAUCGUAAUGCGUUAUGAUUGCUAGUCACAGUUUUGGUAAGUAAUACAUU